UUUGCUCCUCAGCUUUUUGACUCAGAUCAAAGUGUAGUAUCUUUUCUUAUCAGUUCAUUAUAUGUUACGUUCCUAAAUACACGAACUUCGAUGUUAAACUGGUUUUUAUUACUGACAGCAACGUUAAAGAUUGCUCAACAUUUGCUGGCAACUACGUCACAACAAUGUUAACUUUU
rnacentral:snRNA from 1 species